rnacentral:tRNA from 1 species
GCGGACAUGGUGGAAUUGGCAGACACCCCAGAUUUAGGAUCUGGUGCUUCGGCGUGCAGGUUCGAGUCCUGUUGUCCGCA